ACCUGGUUGGGAUAGGUGGCCCCAGACCCAGACCGUCUAGGAGCGCCCGCCCGGGCCCGCUGCGCGUGCGGUUCGGGGUUUGUCUCCGCCUCUACACACCCACACCCGCUUCCUGGGCCGUGACUCCCUCCUGUCAAUCAGGUGUGGACGGGCAUGUCACGCCGUCUCCCCGCCUGGGCUGGAAGCGGGAGGUGUGGGCGCCUCCGCGGGCUCCUAACUCCUCUGUCCUGAGUCCGCCCCUCCCCACCCCGCGCUGGCCCUCACCUCUCCGCGGAGGGAGCCUCCGAGGUCCCUCCCCCUGCGCCCUCUGCAGGGGAACCGGGUCCCGCGGCUGGGCUGGGCUGCCCACCCUCGGCCACUGGAGGGUCGGUGACGAUGCGACGUGAGGACGAUCGCCGACCUUCUGUCAGAGGUGGUCAAGUGACAAAGCAAACAUAUGCGGGACACGGUGGGAGCAGGUUGGACUCUGAAGAGGUGGGGAGGAGGGGGGGUGUUUGGGAUUGCAGAGAACCACCUAGUUUCCGAAUUCUUCCCCCCUUUCUUCGGAGCGUGGAGGUCUCACGGUGACAAUUCCUCUACAGCCAGAGCUCUUCUGCGCCCCCUCCUUUCCAAAGGCAGGCAAGUUCUGUCCUGAAAUCCGGAGGUCACCCAGAAUCCCAGCGGCAACACCUGAAUGGAGCGGGACGGAUGGAAGCGGAGGAGCCAGAGGGAGCGCUGCGUGUGGGGAAACCGGAUUCCGGGGCGGCCAGGCUGGUGCCCGGAGGCAGAAGCGGCGAACGCACCGGGGGGUACCAGCCGCUCACCUCCAUUUCAGGGACCUUGAUUGCCCGCACCUUUCCGCCAGCCUCGCCCGUGCGCCCGCAGGUCCCGGGGGCUCGCCACCAGGGGCAACCGAGAACGCGACUCACCCUAAGGCAAACUGGGAGAGUAGAGGGAGGGUGCCCUGUCCGCCUUCUCUGAGUGCGCCUGCCACGCGGUUUGCAGCUGGUAGGACUAACUCAGGGAGGAACAGUUUUCCUGGCUUCUUCUGAGAAAAAUUCUUUUGAGAUUCUUCCAUGCUGUUGAGUUCAUCAGUAGUUAAUUUCUUUUUAUUGCCUGCUAGUAUUCCGUUGUAUAGAUGGGCCAUGAAUUGUUUAUCCGUUCCUGCAUUGGUGGACAUUAAGUUGUUUACAGGUUUGGGCUACUACAAAUAAAACAGCUAUGAACAUU